rnacentral:lncRNA from 10 species
CAACCCCACAAACUUAAUCAGGAAUACCAAAGAAUUAAUCUGAACUAAUGUGAUUUUGUUUGGGGAUGCAGAUGGGAUAAUAACUGAGAAGUUCAGUUAUUUCAGAACGUGUCUAGAGGCAUCUACAUGACUUAGAUCCAUAGGUAAUCCGAUUCAUAUUUUUCUGAUAGCUGACUCAUAUUUCUAAGACAUCUUGUAUCUCCUCACCUCUCUCUGGUGGUAGUACGCAUUCAGUGAUAGGAGCUAAAGGACGCAGUGCAGAACUAAACCAGAAUUUAUGCAAAGUCAAUGAGCUGAAUUGAAAUAACUGAGUUGACUAAAUUAAUCUGAGCAGGAUCUGUCGCUUUCCCUAAAGGAACCCUGACUAACAAUAGCUUCUCCAACUGACAGUUGACUCUAACUUAAGUUCACUGCUUCUCUGCUGUUGCUAAUGUGCAGGUUCUGGGUCCUGAACUAAUUGCUGCCAGGUGGGUGACAGGAAACAGAGCUCCAAUCUUGUUCUCUGUUCUGAGAGAAAAUUCUGAUAUUCUUUGGAAAGAUAUAGAUGAAACCUAAUGUUUAUCAAGAAACUCUGUCUGUUAUCCUUCUUGGCUGAUACACAAGAAUAUAUGGUAGUCUUUGGCCAAAUUAAAACAUUAAAAUGGACUCCUUUUUUGAAGAGGGGUUGGGAGUAGGGGAUAACUAGUGGGAAAGGAAGGAAGGAACUAAAAUGAACUGAAUGCAUAUAGAAGCCAGGCAAUUUAUACACAUUACAUUAUCCUCCUAUGAAAUGCAAAUAGGCAUUUAAAUCUCCACUUUAUAUAUAAGGAAAUAAAGGUUCACAGAAGUUAAGUAACUUGAUUAAGAUCUCACAGUCAAUAAGCGGCAGAGACAGAACUUGAAAACAGUUCUUACUUCAAAAUCUAUUUUCUUUCCACAUUUCACACUGAUUCUAGAAACAUACGUAUUUAAAUAAACAUGCCCAUUGAAAAUAAUGAAGUUUGAAAAUAAGUUGUCAAUGAUUUUUUUCUUUAAUUGAUCUACUCUUAAAGAUUAUAUAACUAUCUUCUGGCUAAGUUUCGCUGUAUUAACAUUAUAAGUUUGUAAGCUGUAAACAACUCUAUAUGCCAAAAUUCUUAAAACAUCCAGACCCUUUGACUAAGGUUUUUUUCCUCUUGAUAUUAUAAAUUGGUCCAGAUUUGAUUGUAGAAAUGUCCAUCAUAACUUUGUCUAAUGCAGUGGAAUUUGAAAGUAAUCUAAAUGUCCAAAAUAAUGAAUUUGUUAAUCUUUGGCACACCGAUACUAAUGGAAUACUCUGCAGCCAUUAAAAAUUGUGUACUAGAAUAUUUAAUUAUCUAGAUAGAUGUUUUUGGUAUGUUAUUACUUUAAAAAGGGACUACAAACUGAAUGUAUGACAUAAUCUGAUUUUUGUAAAUAUAUAUUUAUAUAUGAAUAGAAAAAAGGCUUGAAGAAUAUAAUAUUAUGCAGCAGGCACUAUGAGUAUACACGUAUUACCUCCUUCAAUCUUUUCAAUAGCCUUCGCAUGUAGAUACUAUUAUUGUUACUGUAAUUUUGCAGCCAUGAAAACUGAGUCUUAGAGAGGCUAGGUAAAAUACUAGAUUUGCUAUGUAAAAAAUAACCUCCAAAUCUCAGUUUUUUAAAAGAAAUGAUUUUUUCUUUUCCUCAAGUUACAUGAUAACUAUGGGGCAGCUGAAGCACCCUCUGUGGAUCUGCUCCACAUGAUUUUCUCUCUGUGACCAGGGCUGAUGGAGCAACACUCGUCUGGAAUAUGCUGUUCUCAGGGCAGAGGAUGGUCCUGCCAGGGGAGCAACGCUUUGCUCAGAUGAGAGUCUAAAACUGCUCAGAAAAUGUUCUGAUACCUUUGAUUAGUCCAAAAGAGAGUAAGAAGAAAGAAGCAGUUCACGCCUUUGUAUGACCUGAACUGGAGAACCCACAUCAAAGUAGGGAUUUGUGGGGCCCCCGUCCACUGUUGAAGAUACUCCAGGUCUGCAGUGAAAUGAAGCAGAGGAGCAUACAGCAGCAGAGAUGAGAAUAAGAAAGUACUUCCUGGUUUCCCACUAGGCUUUUAAUGCCUAGUCCCAUUCCCUUGGGGGAAUUGUGGGGAGAAGAAAGAGAGUAGCUGCUUUCAGAUUCUGUUCGCUGCCCUAGGAUUCUUCCAACAGAACACUUGUUGCCCCGAUGACUGCGAAUUAAUUUUUAUGUGCAAUCAAAAACUCCGAUUAAUUCAGCAGGACUUGAAAAGCAGCUACUACUAUGGUUCAGCUGCAAAGAGUGCACCUGUGAUACCAGCUCCUAGCAAUCCAACACCAAUAAUCUUGAUUCUGCAAAUUUUCACUUCCAAGAAGUUUACAAAACACAUCUGUAAUAUUUAAAGAAAGAAAAAAUAUUUCCUGGAACUUUCACCUUUAGUGAGUUAGAAGAAUGCCAUUUGAAGUAAAUAGAGAUUCAUUGUUUCUCUGUAUUUCUCAAAGAAUCAGUAGAGAUAUUGAGAGGAAAAAGUUCUUUCUCAUAUAAAUUUGGAAUAUUGGAAAGAAAUUACUGGAAGAAAAGAAAAUAUUAGAAACAUGGGUAGUGAUGAAGCAAAGAAUCUGAAAUGCUUCACUCAAAACCUCUUGAACUGUGGAAACGAUGGGGAAGAGAGUAUGUCAAAUGAGAUCCCGGGGAAGGAAUGCGAGCUUGAUAGCUUGACCAACAGCAACAAAAUGACCUGAGAACUUACUAGAAAUGCAAAUCCUUGGGCCUCACCUUAGACUGAAUCAGAAACUCUGGGAGUGGGGCCAGCAAUCUGUUUUGACAAGCCCUUUGGGUGAUUCAAUUGCUGAUUAAAGUGAGAAAAUCACCACUUGAGUGCAGCAAGGAGAGCAGUGUGUUGGGAUGACAUGGGAGGUUUAAAAAUCUGUCAAAUAACAACAACAAAAAAAAUUCUUGUCCCUGUCAUCAACUUCCAUGUCAUGAGGAUAAAAGGGAAGUUUGAAAAAUUAUUUGAGAAAAUAUGGUAAGACUGGCAGCAAAUUGUAACUUUAAAAAUUAGUAGGCACAUUAGGCAAGCUUCUACCACACCUCUUUCUUACCCAGAUUCACACACACAAACCAGGCUGUCCAAAGCACAGUCCUGCUUAAUUAGAUACUGAGGAGCCAAAACUUUUCCACCCCCUCCCCUCAGUCCCUAAGACACAACACAUCAGUUUCCAUGAUUGCUGUUCAGCAGAACCAGGCCAAUCUGGUUUUUUGCAGCUUGCCUAUUAAAAAGUGACUUUCACACCCUCCUGGGUUAUGUACCAAGACCUUUGCCCUUUUGUGGCUUAGCAGAAUGAUUUAUUUGUGUCAUUAGUCAAUCUAUUAUUUCAUCCAAAAUAUUUCCAUUACCUGAAAUAAACUGCAGUCCCAAUGAUGA